ensembl:ncRNA T14F9.12 ncRNA
AACUAUUAUUAUCGGCCCAAAAUCGCCAGUUAAGGCGGUGUUUCCCGGUGUCAGGUUGUUUUGAAAUUCGUGUGGGAAGGAAGCCCUAAAUUUUCCGUCUGAACAAACACCGGUCAACUAUG